CGAAAGCGUAUAUUAAAGUUGUUGCAGUUAAAAAGCUCGUAGUUGAACCUUGGGCUUGGCUGGCCGGUCCAUCUUUUUUGAUGCGUACUGGACCCAGCCGAGCCUUUCCGUCUGGCUAGCCUUUUGGCGAACCAGGACUUUUACUUUGAAAAAAUUAGAGUGUUCAAAGCAGGCCUUUGCUCGAAUAUAUUAGCAUGGAAUAAUAGAAUAGGACGUUAUGGUUCUAUUUUGUUGGUUUCUAGGACCAUCGUAAUGAUUAAUAGGGACGGUCGGGGGUAUCAGUAUUCAGUUGUCAGAGGUGAAAUUCUUGGAUUUACUGAAGACUAACUACUGCGAAAGCAUUUACCAAGGACGUUUUCAUUAA
rnacentral:rRNA from 1 species